rnacentral:miRNA from 1 species
AUUAGUUUGACUUAAUUAAAAGUAACCUGUUCACUUAGAUUGUUCUUAGUAUGAGGUGUUCUCGUACUAAGUAGAGUCUAAGAGAACAAGAUAAUUUUAAAAUUUAAUU